UACGGGGGGGGCAAGCGUUGUUCGGAAUUACUGGGCGUAAAGGGCGCGUAGGUGGCCAACUAAGUCAGACGUGAAAUCCCUCGGCUUAACCGGGGAACUGCGUCUGAUACUGGAUGGCUUGAGUUCGGGAGAGGGAUGCGGAAUUCCAGGUGUAGCGGUGAAAUGCGUAGAUAUCUGGAGGAACACCGGUGGCGAAGGCGGCAUCCUGGACCGAUACUGACACUGAGGAGCGAAAGCCAGGGGAGCAAACAGG
rnacentral:rRNA from 1 species